GAGAGAUUUGGAAAAUGUUUAGUUGUGUGUGGCACAAAGGAGAAAGAAAACUAAAACAUGUUAAGAAUUUCUAUUCCUAAUCUCUACUAUCAAUAAUAUAGACAUCAAAGGAUGGCAAGAUAAUAUUCGUUGAUAAUCAUACAAAGAAAUACUACGCAGCAUUGAAAGAUAAAUGGAGUGUAGCUAUAAGCUAUAAGUUCAGAACGAAUGUUAUAUGGAAAAAGCAAAUCACAAUAUAAAUAUAAUUUUAUAACUUUUUAAAUAUAUAUGUAUAUUUUUAAUUUUAGGUGAACACAAUACCUUUUAUUUUUAUAUGGUGCUGAGGAUCAAACCCAGGGCCUCGCACAUGCUAGGUGAGCACUCUACCACUGAGCAACAACCUCAGCCCUAUCAUUUGAUUAUUCUUAAUAAAUUAUACACAAUACAUAUUCUUUUAUAUGUAUUAAAAUUACUUAAAGAUUUUCAAAGCAAGUUGCAACCUGUUGAUGGCUAGAACAUGUUGAUGGUUGGAGAAAAUAACUGACAGAGAAAGCAAAUGACAACUAGUGCUGAUUUUUGGAACAUUUAAGAUUGUCUUGUAUCCCUGAAUGCAAAAGGCCCUGGGUUCAAUCCCCAGCACCAUCAAAAAAAAAAGAUUGUCUUAUAGGGGGGCUGGGGUUGUGGCUCAGUGGUAAAGCGCUUGCCUGCCAUGUGUGAGGCACUGGGUUUACUCCUUAGCGCCAUAUGUAAAUGAAUAAAUAAAAGUAUUGUGUCCAUCUACAACUAAAAAAAAUUUUUAAAGAUUGUUUUGUACAUUCCCUAAAAUUACUCAGGGAGGAGGGGCAUAUUCCCCAACCUGGUGAAGAAUGGACUUUCUAUGGUCCACAUAAUGGGGGUUUAGUGUUGUUGUAAUAUGUAUAUUAAUCAUAUCAUAUAAAUCCAAAAUUAAUUUGUAGCAUCAAGAUGGUGAUAUCUGGAAAUAUAUCAAAAGGAAAAUAGUGUAUGCAAAGACAUAGAUGCAUGAGAAAGAUCAUGUACCAUUUAGGCAUACAUAAACAUUACCAUCCUG
rnacentral:tRNA from 1 species